AGGACGAACGCUGGCGGCGUGCUUAACACAUGCAAGUCGAGCCGGUAAGACCGUCCUUCGGGGGGUACACGAGCGGCGAACGGGUGAGUAACACGUGGGUGACCUGCCCUCAGCUCUGGGAUAAGCCUGGGAAACCGGGUCUAAUACCGGAUGGGACUGCUUGCCGCAUGGUGGGUGGUGGAAAGUUUUUUCGGCUGGGGAUGGGCCCGCGGCCUAUCAGCUUGUUGGUGGGGUGAUGGCCUACCAAGGCGGUGACGGGUA
rnacentral:rRNA from 1 species